rnacentral:RNase_P_RNA from 1 species
AGCAGUUCUCGUUCUAUCGCUGGUAGAUUGUAAAAGUCUACGAGAGGAAAGUCUGGGCAACAUAGAGCACCAUACUACCUAACGGGUAGGCAAUACUUUAUUGUGUUGACAGCAAGUGCCACAGAAAAUAACCGCCCUAGAAAUAGGGUAAGGGUGAAAAUGUGAGGUAAGAGCUCACGCAAUGGCUUAGUAAUAAGUUGUUGGGGUAAACCUUAUGGGUUGAAAGACCAAAUAUAUCAGCCUAGAGCUGCUCGCUCGUAAUGGCUGAGGGGUAGGUCGUUGGAGGCUUAUCGUGAGGUAAGUCCUAGAUUAAUGAUAGAGGCCUUAUUAUAAGGACACAGAACCCGGCUUAUAGAGAAUUGCUUUGU